GCGUUUACCUUCAAUUCGGGUAUGUUAGAGAAUUCUACAACUCAAGUUGGGCUGCACUUGUGCACACGUUUGCGUGACUGCUGCGCCACUUUUUCUCUCGCUGUCAACCCUAUACAACUAGCGCUCAUGGUGGUGGAAGGGCAUAAACUCUUUGCACUUGUGUGAACGGUUGCACUUGUUCGAAAUUUUGUUCAUUUUGUUAUUGUUCUGGUCUACAUUGUAUAAAACAUUGUCAUUAAUUUACCGGUCAUUACUCAUUACGCCAUUGAUAAAACCUAUUUGUGUAACAGAAUGGGUAAAGUUGUUCCAAAAAAAUUAUGGGGCAGUUAAUAAAGUAAAAAUUUCCGCAGAGAAAAAGGCAGCUUUAUCAGAGCAAAAGAAGGUUGAAAGAUUAAAACGUAAAAGUGAAAAACGUCGAAUGCUCAGUAACCCACUCAAUCUUCCAUUACGAUCUCUGUAUGGGGACUUCAAGGAUAAUGAACAAGACAAUGAUGACAAAAAACCAAUCCAAAGACCAUCAAAAAAGCAUGAAGGAAAUGGCAUGAAGGAAAUGGAAGUUGAAGCCAGUGCUGAACUUGAGGCAGCCCAAUCAUCCAGGAAUGUUUUCUCUUGUGAAAAGAAAAAGACAGCUGAUGUAGAAUUUACAAAGGCUGACAACAUGUGGGAAGAGAGACAAGAAGAGGUUUAUGUGACAGUUCUAACAUCACAUGCCUCAUCUGGCCAUGAACGGAUAUGUGAUGCUGUUGGAUGUAAGAAUAUGCUCAAAGACCAUCACAUACGUUGUGAGGAUUGCAGACAUCAUUAUUGCUGGAGCUGUGACAACUUGAUUCAUUAUCAAUCACCUUUUCACAAAAGAAUUUUCUACAAAAAUGAGAACUCAAGAGUGUUGGACUUGAAAGUAUUUAUUAACUCAAAGGGGUCUCUCUAUCAGCUAGCGGUUCCUGUGCCGGUAUUCAAACCACCAGCAUGUAAAGGAUGUCUUCCAUGAACACAAGUUUCGCUUGUUGCAGGACGACAAUUUUCAUGUGUCAUUACAUCGAAUGGAAGAUUUGAUUUAAAUUCCGCCGCUUUCUACUGUGAAAAAUGCAAAAUCACCGGAGAAGCCGAAAUGGCUGACUACAUCAUCUCCGGUUUUUGGCCCCCUGUUCCCGACAAAAUUACUUUUCUGGUGUGUUCUAAUCUCUUAACUAUGUGGUACCAUUUAAAACUGCUUACACCAGGUACUUCCGAGCGAAAGUUCCUUGAAUGUUUAUCAGCAAUGUCAACGGAAGGAUCAAGGUGUCCAACAGUUAAUGGCCCCAUGUUUGCCAAAGCCAGCCAGGCCCAUGAGUUUACGAGGCAUUUGGUUGACACACGCGUUAAGAACAUGGAUAAACUUUUGUGUCGAGUUUGUGUUGAUUUAGAUACCGGGGAGCCUGCCCUUCUCUCUGGCCAUCCUGAUGGAAAUCACAAGCUUACCAGGACUAACCGCAAAAACGAGCGCCCUGCUAGGGCCUGGUACGGGAAUGAGGUCAUUCCUCAGAGGGAAGAAUUCCAGCUACUAAAAGAGUCUAUUGACAAAGUGAAACCCCAGUCCAAGAAAUCAAUUGGUUCGCGUCAACUCUGUGGAAAUUCGGAAUUCCAAGCUUCAAAAGAGGUGUCAAUGCGCUACUAAAGUAAUAAUUUUGCAAAGGUAGCAAAACUAGAGCUCCGUCCCACCUUACGGAUCUACAGAACGAACUGGAAGCCAUACAUUUUGAAGUUAUUACCGUGCACGAUUGCAUUAGCAGCGUUGCAAAUUCUUGUAAAUGGAGAACAAAAAUGAGAAGGCGCGUGACCGUGCUUAAAACUAAAGCUGCCAAAGUAAUCAACGAAAUUAAUAAUAUUUCGACUGAGUUCAAAGUCACGGCGGAACAUUUCUCCGAAGGAGUUUUCCCAUUGAACGAAGCCAAUCAACUCUCCUUUAAGGAAAACUUUAAAAUUGUGGAUUGCUGGAUGCUGCGAAAGCGAAAUGCGGAACAAAUUGUGCAGUC